UGGGGAAUUUUGCACAAUGGGGGAAACCCUGAUGCAGCGACGCCGCGUGAUUUAGAAGGCCUUCGGGUUGUAAAAAUCUUUUGUAUGGGAAGAAAAUGACAGUACCAUACGAAUAAGGACCGGCUAAUUACGUGCCAGCAGCCGCGGUAAUACGUAAGGUCCGAGCGUUGUCCGGAAUCAUUGGGCGUAAAGGGUACGUAGGCGGAUAAGCAAGUUAGAAGUGAAAUCCUAUAGCUCAACUAUAGUAAGCUUUUAAAACUGCUCAUCUUGAGGUAUGGAAGGGAAAGUGGAAUUCCUAGUGUAGCGGUGAAAUGCGCAGAUAUUAGGAGGAAUACCGGUGGCGAAGGCGACUUUCUGGUCAUCAUCUGACGCUGAGGUACGAAAGCGUGGGUAGCAAACAGG
rnacentral:rRNA from 1 species